AUGCAUAAAAUUUUUUAUUUUAUUAUUUUAUUCCUAACCUACUAAUAUUGAAAAUAUAAUAAUUAAUUAUAAAAGUGCUAGAAAACAAGCUUGUCAAGUGCGGAAAUAACCUAAAAUAACUACUACAUUUGACGUCAGGUCAAAUACCACCACAUUUAAAUCAUUGCUUGUCCUCAAGCAAACAAAACAAAAACAAAAGUAAAACAAAAGAAACUAGA
rnacentral:lncRNA from 1 species